CCCUCUUCAAUAGUAUAAGUUAAACUUUAAUUUGUAGGAUGAUUGUUUUUUUAGUGUUUUAAAGCAUACUAUGAGGUCAUCUAAACAAAGAUAUGCAUAUCAGAGCUUUCAUUUAUUUAAUAAAUAUUGAUUAGUCAUGUCAAUAUUAAUAGGGAGAAAGAUGUGAGCAGAUUGUCAGGACACGGUGUGAUAAGAGCAACAGAUAUAAAUGACUACCAGUGGAGACUCUGGAACUAGACUGCCUGAGCUUGAAACCUGGCUCCAACACCUAUGAGCUGUUUAACCAUGAUGGACAAGUUAGGAAACUCCAUGAAGCUCAAAUGACAUCCUACAUCAGUGACCAUUAUUGGAGAAACUGGGAUUCAUUGCAUACAGGUAAUGUUUGAAGCCAUGAGAAUGAGAACAUAUGAAAAGACAAGAAAGCAAAGAAAAGAAUGUGAUGAAAACUAACAUUUAACAGG